CAAGUACUCCCUCCAUCCAGAAUUACUUGUCAUCAAAAUGGAUGUGUCUAGAACUAAAAUACAUCUAGAUACAUCCAUUUCAAUGACAAGUAUUUUCGGAUGGAGGGAGUACAAG
rnacentral:pre_miRNA from 1 species